AUGAGAAAUCACAUACAAAACUGGAUUUUAAAUGCAUCGAAAGUGUUGAGUUGUUUCCGGACAUUCAUCAAUAUCUGCGUAUAUAAAGGAAAGCUUUGGGAAUUUGUUGCUCAAUCUAUAGAAUGCAGGGACAAUUUGGCUGCAAACUCAACACCUGAAAACAGUAAAAACACACACAUCACUGACACUAUCCUAAACACAAUUUCUCCUAUGAUGUUCAAUUCCAAACAAACUAAAUUUCAAAACAUCAUAAACUAUAUGGUUCAAAUCAGUAGAGUCAGAUAUUCUAAGUGUCCCAACAUCAAACACCUGGUGUUCACAGAAAUACAAUUCCACAACACUAUUGUAAUCCCAAACCCAACCAUCCCCAUCACAGUAACAGGAUUCCUUAAUAUCAAAAUAGAAACAACAGCAGCCAUAACAACUUUAGCAUUCCCCAAAACUUGCAGCGUCAAAGCACUCGUAUGU
rnacentral:lncRNA from 1 species